rnacentral:rRNA from 1 species
UACGUAGGGUGCGAGCGUUGUCCGGAAUUAUUGGGCGUAAAGAGCUUGUAGGCGGUCUGUCGCGUCUGCUGUGAAAAUCCGGGGCUCAACCCCGGACUUGCAGUGGGUACGGGCAGACUAGAGUGUGGUAGGGGAGACUGGAAUUCCGUGGUGAUAGCGGUGAAAUGCGCAGAUAUCAGGAGGAACACCGAUGGCGAAGGCAGGUC